rnacentral:rRNA from 1 species
GUCGAACGCUGGCGGCGUGCUUAACACAUGCAAGUCGAACGGAAAGGCCCUGCUUUUGUGUGGCGCUCGAGUGGCGAAUGGGUGAGUAACACGUGAGUAACCUGCCCUUGACUUUGGGAUAACUUCAGGAAACUGGGGCUAAUACCGGAUAGGAGCUCCUGCUGCAUGGUGGGGGUUGGAAAGUUUCGGCGGAUGGGGAUGGACUCGCGGCUUAUCAUCUUGUUGGUGGGGUAGUGGCUUACCAAGGCUUUGACGGGUAGUCGGCCUGAGAGGGUGACCGGCCACAUUGGGACUGAGAUACGGCCCAGACUCCAACGGGAGGCAGCAGUGGGGAAUAUUGCACAAUGGGCGGAAGCCUGAUGCAGCAACGCCGCGUGCGGGAUGACGGCCUUCGGGUUGUAAACCGCUUUCGCCUGUGACGAAGCGUGAAUGACGGUAAUGGGUAAAGAAGCACCGGCUAACUACGUG